rnacentral:tRNA from 1 species
AAAAUAGUAGUCUAACAAAGAUAUAAAGUUUAGAACUUUAAGAUGCACCUUCA